UGAAAUGCCAGCUAAAGCCUCCCUUGUUUUCUGAUGGCAGGAAUUUACGUAGUAAAGUGCUUCCUGGCUCUGGGCAGCUGAGGUGUGGUGUUAUCUCUGGUCAGAGCUGGUAUGAGUAUUUCUGAAUGUGCCACUCAAUUCAGAGUGAAUGAUAAUGUGUUCUAGGUCUGCUCUUAUCAUCACUUUAUCAGAUAAGUACUGCUGUGAUUUGUAUAAGAACUUUCAUUUGCUAAAUAAAAGACUGUAGGUCAGGCCUGAGCUGUAGGGUGAUACAUAAUACUGCAUGUGAAGAGGACUAGCAAGUUCAAGGCUUUAAACAACUUCUAGUGCUUCGAUACCCUUCUAAACAGAGCUUUUUGAGAUUCUGCCAUCAAAAAGACAUGAGAAAUAGAACUUUGUUGUUGCUUAGCUGUGUGCAGUCACAGAAAUGUAACGUGCUUUCAUUUAUGUACACAGGUAUCUGCACGCACCAACUGCCCUAACAGUCCUGAUGAGAAGGCUACUUGUAAAACUCCAUCGAAGUUGUGAGAGCAGGAGAGAGUAUUCUUUUGAACUGAAGUUUUGCUAGUAAUUGAGGACUGACCGACUGUUUUCUGCUUUGGGAGAUGUGAAAGUUAGUGUGAAUGGGUGCCCACCCACGAUGCCUAAGUUGGGGCCAGCUGUAAUCCUCUGUAUUUCUCACACUUGAGAGAGACACCAGCCUGCAGUGCCUCAGUGCCUGGGUAGGGGUUGCCCUAAGCUUGAAGUUGCAGCUGGAGCCAGGAUCUGAAGGCAGGAUGUUGCUUCUGUAGAAGGCAGUGUUGUUUCUUUCUGUUACCUAAGAUGUGUUGAAGCUAAUGCUGACAUUUCAGCCUCUGCUGGCUUGUGCUUUUGUUUGCCAUGUUGACAUACCUUCUGUUGCGUAUUUUUAAGAUAGGAGAAUGCCGUUGCCCCAAUCUCCAACCUUGAGAGAGGGAGAUAUGGUAACAACAGGAAAACAAUCCUAGUAUUUCUAAGGUAAAAUCUGUCUUCAGAUGCACAUUCCUUAUUAAAAAGAACUUGGUAUGGAACCAGGUGCCUUGCAGUCUCCUAGUCCAAAGCAAGGACAGCCCUAUGGUCACGUUAGGUUGCUUAGGCCUGCGUGCAGUGAAAUAUCUUUGGUCGUGGUCAUUUCUCAUUCUCUCCAUACCACCUAUUCUAGUGUUGGACCAUUCCCAUUCUGCAUAGUUUUCUCCUUUCACCUAGCAGGAAUUUUCUUUGCUGUGGUUUGUGCCUAUUGUCUCUUAGUUUUACUGCAAAUCUUCAGAAAAUGUUUG
ensembl:lncRNA